rnacentral:rRNA from 1 species
UACGGAAGGGUGCUAGCGUUGUUUCGGAAUCACUGGGGCGUAAAGCGUGCGCAGGCGGCUUUUUAAGCCAGAGGUGAAAUGCCAAGGGCUCAACCCUGGAACUGCCUUUGGAACUGGAAAGCUGGAGUACUGGAGAGGUUUGGGGAAUUCCUAAUGUAGCGGUGAAAUGCGUAGAUAUUAGGAGGAACACCAGUGGCGAAGGCGCCAAACUGGACAGUUACUGACGCUCAUGCACGAAAGCGUGGGGAUCAAACAGG